AUUGAACGCUGGCGGCAGGCCUAACACAUGCAAGUCGAGCGGUAACAGGGGUAGCUUGCUACCCGCUGACGAGCGGCGGACGGGUGAGUAAUGCAUAGGAAUCUGCCCGAUAGUGGGGGAUAACCUGGGGAAACCCAGGCUAAUACCGCAUACGUCCUACGGGAGAAAGGGGGCUCCGGCUCCCGCUAUCGGAUGAGCCUAUGUCGGAUUAGCUAGUUGGUGAGGUAAAGGCUCACCAAGGCGACGAUCCGUAGCUGGUCUGAGAGGAUGAUCAGCCACAUCGGGACUGAGACACGGCCCGAACUCCUACGGGAGGCAGCAGUGGGGAAUAUUGGACAAUGGGGGCAACCCUGAUCCAGCCAUGCCGCGUGUGUGAAGGAGGCCCUCGGGUUGUAAAGCACUUUCAGUGAGGAAGAACGCCUGGUGGUUAAUACCCAUCAGGAAAGACAUCACUCACAGAAGAAGCACCGGCUAACUCCGUGCCAGCAGCCGCGGUAAUACGGAGGGUGCGAGCGUUAAUCGGAAUUACUGGGCGUAAAGCGCGCGUAGGUGGCUUGAUAAGCCGGUUGUGAAAGCCCCGGGCUCAACCUGGGAACGGCAUCCGGAACUGUCAAGCUAGAGUGCAGGAGAGGAAGGUAGAAUUCCCGGUGUAGCGGUGAAAUGCGUAGAGAUCGGGAGGAAUACCAGUGGCGAAGGCGGCCUUCUGGACUGACACUGACACUGAGGUGCGAAAGCGUGGGUAGCAAACAGG
rnacentral:rRNA from 1 species